rnacentral:rRNA from 1 species
AACCAAGUGACCUACCCAUGACCAGGUUGAAGGCGCGGUAAAACGCGCUGGAGGACCGAACCCACGUAAGUUGAAAAUUGCGGGGAUGAGUUGUGGGUAGCGGUGAAAUUCCAAACGAACUUGGAGAUAGCUGGUUCUCUCCGAAAUAGCUUUAGGGCUAGCCUCGCAAAGAGGAUGCUGGAGGUAGAGCUCUGUUUGGACUAGGGGCCCGUCAAGGGUUACUGAAUUCAGAUAAACUGCGAAUUCCAGACAUUUAUGUGCGGGAGUCAGACUGCGAGUGAUAAGAUCCGUAGUCGAAAGGGAAACAGCCCAGAUCACCAGUUAAGGUCCCAAAAUUCAUGCUAAGUGGAAAAGGAUGUGGAGUUGCGCAGACAACUAGGACGUUGGCUCAGAAGCAGCCAUCAUUCAAAGAGUGCGUAAUAGCUCACUAGUCGAGUGACGCCGCGCCGAAAAUUUACCGGGGCUAAGCAUGAUACCGAAACUGUGGAUGUGCGUUUAUGCACGUGGUAGGAGAGCGUUCUAGCGGCGGUGAAGCAUGACCGAGAGGACAUGUGGAGCUUCUAGAAGUGAGAAUGCCGGUAUGAGUAACGAAAGACAGGUGAGAAUCCUGUCCGCCGCAAGACUAAGGUUUCCUGGGGCAGGCUCGUCCG